AUCGCGGGGGGCGGGGCGUCGCGGGCACAGCGUGAGGGCCGCCGUUGCUGGAGUUCAGCUUAGGGAAGGAGGACUCUGAGGAGGCCCCGAGCGGCGGAGCGCUUCGGGGGAGGCGCCCGCGCAGACGCGAGGCCCAUAGCCAGGACCACCACCUAGCUGUUCUACAGUCUGGGGACGACGGUUUAAAAAUUUAUGCCUUGCAUGCGAUGUGCAGUGGGUGAUGGAAGAACGUCUACAUGGCUUUAAAAUUGGAUUUAAAAGGCAAAUAUUUUAAAUGAAGGAAAACCCAAGAAGUUUACUUGAUUCCUUAUCUUCCAGGAUGCGACUUUUGUUUAUUUAUUUAUUUUAUUUUGAUGGAGUCUCGCUGCCGUCGCGCAGGCUGGAGUGCAGUGACGCGAUCUUGACCCGGGAACCUCCACCUCCCGGGUUCAAGCGAUUCUCCUUCCUCAACCACCCGAGUAGCUGGGAUUACAGGCGUGUGCCACCAUGCCCGGCUAAUUUUUGUGUUUUUAGUAGAGACCGGGGAAGGUAUGGGCCCUCUUUUGAGAAAAAUGCAGAGUGACACUGAAUUUUGUAACUACAUCAGGAGGCUCUUGAACCUUCUGCAGCUCACUCGUGGAGUUUGUAGAGAUGCGUAAUAAUCCGAAGUGUUAAGGAAGAAGGUUCUGUUGAGAAAAAGUUGGAGGGCUGAAAGGGAUGCCUUUCGCUAUUUCGACAUGUGUGGCUGUACCCCAGAGUGCCCUGGCUAACACGCAAAACCAUGAAUUAGGCGGCUUGGCGAGGCUCAGUGGAGGCUGGGGCCGAGAGUCAUGUCAAAGUUUGUGGGGUUAACCUGCACCCAGUGACAGUCAUGGCGAAGUUUGUGAGGUUAACUCGCACCCAGUAACGCUGUUCCAAUGCAAGGUGUGUAUUUGGUGUCAUCCACGGGAAGAGGAAACAGCAAAUUUUCUCAUGGCCUUGGCAGUUCCACAUGAUGGACAUUUCAUAUCUGCAGUUUUCUUCGCAUGAGAUGGCUUUUUUGCACAAAAACACUGGAAUCCAGUGAGCAAGAAUGAUAGAAUGCAAGAUGGAUUUCCACAUGAGGAAGUGUCACGAACAAGCGUUUUGCAUCUCUGUCAGCUGGAUUCCCCCAUGUGUACGUAUGUGAGAACAUGCCGUGUUUCCUGUCUGUAAUGGUAGAGGCAGCCCUGAUACUGGAUUUUCACCUGAGGAUGGAUAGAUCUUCAGGGUUCAAGUGGGUUUGCAUCUGGACUUUAGGGUGGCCCUGUAGGCCCUGUGUGAGAAGCCCCCUUCCCAGUGAACUUUCCCUUGUGUGCCCGCGUGGACAGCCAACAGGGGGAGCAGUGCGAGCGUGAAGGCAGACAGUGGCCUGGCCCAGUCUGAUGGUAAGUGGGCCAGAGGCAGUGAGUACCAUUUCUUGAUCUGACUACUCAAGACAGGCGCUUCCCUAGGUACUUUCACACCUCAUUGCGAGGUACGUGUUGUUCCCAUUUUACAGGUGCAGAAGCUGAGCUGCAGAGGCGUUAGGUACCUGCCUCAUAAGUGGUAGAGACUCCAGUGUCACCCUGCCCCUCACGUUCGGAGCCCCCGAGGGAGGGUCUGCCGGGCAGCUCAGCCCAGCACUCUGUAAGGAAAUCUUCAGUGCCACUGCCCAGGAUGUCUUCCCGGGGAUUGGGCCUGAAUGUCUUGACCAUGCCGUGCUGGAGGUAGGAGGGGUGUCUUCAUAUGGAAGAACUGUACAUAUUUCUUUGGCAGAUGGCUGAACUCUGUGACCCCGGGGCCUGUUUCAGCCUCCUGCUGUCAGAAAGCAGCUGUUUGGGAAGAGGCUGUGAUUCGGCCUUGUUUGAGGGCCGAUACUCUGAAUGGGUGAGGCUUGGAAUCCUCCCUUUGGAACAAAGAAACAUAAUGAUUUUGCUGAAGGUAGAAUUGGGGGACUAGGCAGAGUGGCCUCCUGCCCUCCCUGGGGUGGUUCUGUCUUUUGCAAAGGUGGCUGCAUCCUUAGGGGAAGGUGAGGGGAGAAGCAGGGAGCAUGGAGAGAAGUGGCUUUCGAUUUUCUCUCUCCUUUUGGGGAGUUCCUCCUUAUGUGGCUGGUCUGGUGCAUAGUGUGAUGUAUUCCUGUACGCAACGUUGCCCUGACAGCCAGUCCAAGCUGAGUCUAGAGCUGGCAAGGUGAGCUCCCAGUAGUAAGAGGGUGUGGGCGGCAAGCCACCCAGGCACCGAGGCAAGAGACAGAGGACACGAGCUGUUCCAGUAUAAUAAAAUAUAAAACAAGAAUAGUUAUACCAGAUAUAGAUCUUAGAUAUGAUUAUAUAUGAAUAUCAUUAAUCAUGAGUUUGCAGCAAUUACUUUUUAUUCCAAUAUUAUGAUAAUCCUCGCUCUAUAAUCAUAGCCUAGGAAAAACCAGGCCAUACAGAGGAGCUGAGGGGACAUAGUGAGGUGUGACCAGAAGACAAGAGUGCGAGGCUUCUGUUAUGCCCGGACAGGGCCACAAGAGGGCUCCUUGGUCUAGCGGUGACGCCAGCGUCUGGGAAGACGCCCGUUACCCGGCGGAUCGUGGCCCAGUGGUAGCAAAAGGUGUCAAGGAACAACACUCACUACUUAGCAGACCGGGAAAGGGGCGGGGGGGGGGUCUCCCUUUCCCCGGGGGAGUUUAGAAAAGACUCUGCUCCUCCACCUCUUGUGGAGGGCCUGACAUCAGUCAGGCUUGCCCGUAGUUAUCCGGAGGCCUAACUGUCUCCCUGUGAUGCUGUGCUUCAGUGGUCACACUCCUUGUCUGCCUUCAUGUUCCAUCCUGUACACCUGGCUCUGCCUUCUAGAUAGCAGUAGUAAAUUAGUGAAAAUACUAAUAGUCCCUGAUAUGCAGAAAUAAUGGUAUAAGCUGUCUUUCUCUCUGUCUCCUCUCCCUCUCUGCCUCGGCUGCCAGGCAGGGAAGGGCCCCCUGUCCAGUGGACACGUGACCCACGUGACCUUACCUAUCAUUGGAGGUGACUCACAUUCUUUACCCUGCCCCUUCUGUCUUGUAUCCGAUAAAUAACAGCGCAGUCAGACAUUCGGGGCCACUACCGGUCUCCGCGCAUUGGUGGUAGUGGUCCCCCGGGCCCAGCUGCCUUUUCUCUUAUCUCUCUGUCUUGUGUCUUUAUUUCUACACUCUCUCAUCGCCACACACAGGGAGAGACCCACCGACCCUGUGGGGCUGGUCCCUACAUCUGGCGCUCUGACGUGGGGCUCUCCCUCGCUGUGUGAAGUUGCACCCUGAGUGCGGGAUCAGCGGAGGAGUUCAACGAGAGAUUCCUGAGGAUUGCAGUCUAUAAACUUGGUGGAAAAGAACUACAGCCUGUGUGGGUCCCCUCCCGACAAUUAAAAUUGCACCAUAACUCCAAAGAUGAAACGCUCCCAGAAAGAAAAGGCAAAGACCCAUCGGAAACAAAAGAGCAACUUUCACCGCCUGAUACAUACACUUCAUGACAUCCACAUUGAGACAAAAUCUCGCCGUGUGACCUACAACACCUCUCGUUCAACCCCACCUACUUGGGGUCGAAUACAGAUUUUAUCUCAUCAAACAGAAAAAUUCUUAACAGAAAAAGGAAUCCCAAAAAUGACUGGUAAUAUAAUUCUGGCUGCCUUUAUGGUAGUCAGUGCAGCGGUAAGUAUACCACCGGUCGGGGCAACUCAAAAUUAUACUUAUUGGGCAUAUGUUCCUUUUCCCCUUCUAAUUCGGUCUGUCUCCUGGAGGGACUCUCCAGUAGAAGUUUACACUAAUAAUAGUGCAUUCAUGCCGAUCCCUAAUGAUGAUCGGUUUCCAGCUCAACCGGAAGAAGAAGGUAUGCACUUUAAUCUGUCAAUUGGCUAUAAAUAUCCACCAUUAUGUAUUGGGAAGUCGCCUGGUUGUUUAGCUUAUUCUUAACAGAAUUGGAUGUGGACUGUACCGUCCUUUACAAAUGAUUCUUAUCAAGUAUAUAAUGUGUUCAGUACUAACUCUUUUCAACUUCUCACUGUCAAACGUACCCCACAUGAGGCAUGGAGAGUUCCUCUCACUACCAAAACUAAUAAAACAAAAGGACUGCCGGACUGUCCAAAGAAACCUACAAAUGGGCCUUUUAUAGUGACUUCAAUUUUAUGGGAUAAUUGUAAUGCUCCCAAGGCUGUUGUACUCCAAACUCUAGCCAUGGGUAUUGUUAUUGAUUGGGCUCCAAAAGGACAUUAUUGGCAAGAUUGCUCCAGCAAAAAUACCUUAUGCUCGGAGUUUAUUUAUUCCUUAGAUUAUAUAGAGCAUGGGUGGCAGUCUUACACGAUGAGACAACGGGUGUCUCCUUACCCAUUUAAAUGGAUGGACACAGGUAUUGCUCCUCCUAGACCAAAAAUUAUUCAUCCCUUUUUUACCCCAGAACAUCCUGAACUAUGGAAAUUAGCUGCAGCUUUGUCGGGAAUAAAGAUAUGGAACACUACCUAUCAGCUCCUUCGUACUAAAACCAAAACACCCACAUUCAACAUCACCCUUAUUUCUGAAUGGGUGAUACCCAUUAGGAGCUGUGUCAAACCCCCUUACAUGCUGUUGGUUGGAAAUAUAAUUAUGAUGCCUGAUGCACAAACUAUAGAAUGUCAUAACUGUAAGCUGUUCACUUGCAUUGAUGCAACUUUUAAUCCCACUACAAGUAUUCUCUUGGUAAGGGCUAGGGAGGGGGUAUGGAUACCAGUUUCUCUACAUCGUCCAUGGGAGUCUUCCCCCUCUAUUCACAUAGUCAAUGAAGUUCUUAAAGACAUCCUCAAAAGAACAAAGAGAUUUAUUUUUACUCUUAUUGCAGUCCUUGCAGGACUACUUGCGGUUACUGCAACAGCAGCAACUGCUGGAGUUGCCAUCCGCAGUUCUGUUCAAACUGCUCACUAUGUUGAAGCAUGCCAGAAAAAUUCCUCCAGACUUUGGAAUUCUCAGGCGCAAAUUGAUCAAAAAUUAGCUAAUCAGAUUAAUGAUCUCCGCCAAAGUGUAACCUGGCUGGGAGAUAGAGUUAUGAACUUGCAACACCGUAUGCAAUUACAGUGUGAUUGGAAUACUUCUGAUUAUUGCAUAACGCCUUAUGCUUAUAAUCAAGAUCAACAUAGCUGGGAAAAUGUCUCAAGACAUUUAAAAGCCUGGGAUGAUAACUUAACCUUGGAUAUUUCACAACUUAAAGAGCAAAUCUUUGAGGCUUCACAAGCCCAUUUAUCCACAGUUCCUGGCUCACACAUUUUUGAAGGCAUAACUAAACAAUUACCUGAUUUUAAUCCCUUCAAAUGGCUCAAACCCGUCAGAGGAUCAUUGUUGUUACUGGCAUUAUUAAUAUUGGUAUGCUUAUGUUGUCUCCUUUUAGUCUGCAGAUGCCUCUAAGGAGUCCGAAACCAAGUCCGAAGUCAACAACAAGCAAUGAUGGCGAUGGCGAUUCUAGUUAAUAAAAAGGGGGGAGAUGUGGGCGGCAAGCCACCCAGGCACCGAGGCAAGAGACAGAGGACACGAGCUGUUCCAGUAUAAUAAAAUAUAAAACAAGAAUAGUUAUACCAGAUAUAGAUCUUAGAUAUGAUUAUAUACGAAUAUCAUUAAUCAUGA
rnacentral:lncRNA from 1 species